GGUUCCACCCUGAGCAGGAACCAUCUGUUUGUGGCAGGAAAGGUCCUAAUGGGCGCACUGGUUCAAGCCUACCACAUGGUAGCUCACUAACUCAUGAUUCAUUCAAGGGAAAGAGAGCGUCCCCGAUGGGAAAUGUGUUCUGUUCACUAACGUCAAUGCUCUUUGCUUUGUGAUAGGACGAGGCCGAAUUCAUCCGUGCCUAUAACGACUUUGUGGACUACCUGAGUGACCCCUCCAAGCAGAUUGACAUUGAGAGGGAGCUGGCUGAGGCAAAGAUCCAUCAUGUUAACCUGAUAGAUGUCCUUUUUGAACUGGUGCUAUUUGGGAUGAUGACAGCUCAGAAGUCCCUGAUGGUGCACCCUGGUGGGUUCAUGGAGC